rnacentral:lncRNA from 1 species
ACAUACUACUUGUUAAGUUCCUGUUGCCGCUCCCUGCUGCACUCACAGCUGCCGGCGACUGCACCUCGACUUUUACUACUGCUAUUGCUUUGUUCUGAUCAAGCUUCAGUCACCGACGAUUGGCUAGCCGCCAUUUCUGUGCAUCUGCUGCCGCUCAUCUCAAUCACUGUUGUCGUUCCUUUGUCGUCACAUCAAGUUUCAGCCUAGCCAACCGCCGUUCCUUUACUGCCGAGAUCAAACACCAUUUCUCUCACUUCUCUUUCUCAGUACAGGCUUGAAAAUGCCUAUCGGGACUCUGUUUUUUGUAGCUACUCUGGAAUAUUUAAGUGGAAUCAUGUGUUGUGCUUAUCAUUCAAUCACUAGCAGCCAAUGUCGGGGUUGUCGCGGAUAUCAGUGCUUCAGUUGAUUGGCUUAAGGAAAAUGGUUCCAAGAAGGUUGGCAUGGUUGGAUAUUGCAUGGGAAGUGCUCUCACUAUUGCAUGUUCUGCCAGGUUCUGCUUCCACCCUUUUUUAACAUUAAAAUUGAUGUGGGCAUUUUAAUUUUUUUUUACUUGGAGACUCCCUAAUUAAGAAUAAAAAUUUUAAUCAGAUGCAUGCCUACAAUAUCUGGAUCCAUAUGAUGUGAGAUGUGUUCUGAGGGAUCAUAUUGGAAGGAAUUUUUUUUUCAAUUAACGGGUGAAUGACAAUGGAAUACGGUCUACUAAAGAAAGGUGUUUGGUGCCCGAAAACACUUUGAUCUUUGUGAGUAAUUUCCAACACAUUGUUGAAUAGUAAACUUGUUUUUACAGCCCAAGUCUACGGAAUUCUCAAGAUGAUCAUUAAAGGUGCAUGCUUGAGUUGAAUAAUUGCUAGCUAUCUGGCAAUGCAUGUAUGACAUAAUUUGACCCCUCUAACAAUACUUUAAGGCUUGAUGACUUUUAUAAUAUUUAAAGAAUUGAUUAAAAGUCUCGAAUCUCCAAUGAAUUUUGAAUUAUUUGGAAAUGAAAGGUAAAAUUCAAAAAGAGGGCAAAAUUUGACCUCUCCAACAAUACUUUAGGACUUGAUGACUUUUACAGUAUUUAAAAUAACCUCCAGAGAUUUUUAGUGGCUAUUUUUACUGUAAAAUAGCCUUGCAGAUUUCCAGGGGCUGUUUUAAGUCAAAGCAACUCCCAAAAUUUUUUUUAGCUAGUUUGCAUUGAAAAUAUUUCUGAAGAUCGUUGAGGAAGGAGGGGAAUGAGAGCAAUAGUUUUUAGAAGGCUUAAUGAUGAAUUUGAUAAAUGUGACAUUUGUUAUGGGACUAAAGUGAAAGAAGUUUAUGUUGAGGCUAAAAGCUUGAGUGAGCUAAUGGAUAUUUUGAUUGCUUUUGGAUAAAAAUUAAGAAAUUGGAAGGAGUUCUGUACAAUUCUAUGUAAUUCAAGCUUAAAGAACAAAAACAUGAAAGCAAGUUGAUUUUCAAACUUGUUGUUGAGUAUAUACAUCUUUAAUAGCAUAGGCUAAUUUGUUAAUGAACAUUGUAAGUUGAUGAUGAGAUAUCUUAUCUUUCUUUUAUUCAAUAUAUGUGGCAUUAUUUUUGAAGUUUAACAAUAUUAAUCUUGUGAUUAACAGUUUAAUGGAGAGAAAGCAUACAUUCAGGAUGAACUAGAUGAGGUUCAUUUGGAGUGGGCUAACCAUUCUUCCAAAAUCCUUGUUUAUAGCUGGACUUUGUUGUUAGUUGUUACAAUUUGUUGAAAUUAAAGUUGUAAUGUCAAACUAUAUUGGUUCUGUUAAGGAUUGUAGUAUAAAUGCUAUGCAUUUGAUAACAUUGGGUAUUUUGAUUGAUUCUACAUAGAUUGGGUUGCUGGAUAUGGGUUGGAGUGUUGCUAGGUAUAUGGCUAGAAUUAGAGUGCUGUUGGAAGAUGGUAUUGCUGCUAGAAGUUUUGGAGGAAGUCAUGCUAGAAGUCUUCUUGUUGGAAUAUUUGCAUUAAUCGUUGGAAGUUUUGUUUGGUAACUUCGCUUGGUAGCUACAAUUUUAAUUGUUUUUCUUAGAGUUUGAUUGAAAUUUAACUGUUAUUUUAUACUUUGAAAUGGUUUUUUUUUCAAUUUGGAAAUUUUUAUUAUGUAUUAGUGGUGAUCACAUUGGAUAUUAGAUAUAUUUCUUUUAAAAUUAAUUUGUUGCAUUGAAUGGAUGUUAAUUAAUAUUAAUUGUUUUUAGUUUUUUUUAUGAUAUUCAUUUUAUUAAUUAAUUAAAUUUGUAAAUAGGAAUUCAUCAACAAAUUCUAAUUAUAAUAUAUUUUUUUUAAAUCAAAAUUUUAUGACGGAAAAUAUCCAUCAUAAGUUUUAUCGUAAAUAAUUUUCCGCCAAAAUUAAAUAAUAAAAUUAUAAAUGAUAAAUUGAAUCUCCUACCAAAAAUUUAAAAAAAAAAACCUCAAAAAUUUAAAUAAAUUUAAAUUUAAUUAUAAUUAAUUUUUCACAUUAAAAUAUUAUGUGACGGAUAUAUGACUGUAAAACAUUAUCAUGAAUUCAUGACAGAAAAUAUUCUGUCAUAAAUUAAUGACAGUGACAUAGAUGACGGUUAAACUGUCUGUUAUGCACCCCCUUUUAUGACAGUUAUUUUCUGUCAUUUAUUGUCUGUUUUCUUUUAGUGACGUUAGUUACAUGUUAAGUUGACGCUUUUUUGAGCUAUUCUUAUGCUAUCUCAAAUCACUGGUUUUUCUCCUUUUUUUGCUUUAGAGAGAGUAGAACUUGGAAUGAGGGAUAAAAAUAUAGGUAAGCUGAAGAAUUUGGCAGAGAUAGUGACUUUCUCUUGUUUUUGGGUAAAACGCCUCAAUUUUCUUAAUAUCGUCAUAUGACUUUGUUUAGUAGUAGUAUUAUUAAUUAUGAUUUCUUUGAUAUUUAGGCUUUGGGUUGGCUUUUUGGUGAUUUCAAGGCUGACGUUAACACUUGAGAAGGUGAGAGAAUGCUUCAAGACGUUACGAAGUUAAAGCUUUAAGAAGGUAACUGUGCGCAAUGAUUUUUUUUUAACAUCAAAACUGAAAAGAACGGUUUUUGUUUGUUUUGCACGCCUAAUUUUACUUGAAGCAUGUGAUUUGGUGACGUUUGGGUUGCUAGAAAAUUGAUUAUAAAGUGAAAAGAUGAUAAAUAGUUUAUGGAUUUGCAGAAAAUUUAAAGAUUGUUGGACUGUUAUCUUAACUUUGAUUGUUUCUAAAUAUGAAUAAACGAUGCUUGAUUAACUUAAAAUUUUGAGUAAUAAAAGCUGAAUGUGUAUAUUUCAUUUCUGGACAUUUAAGAAUGAAUUGAAUUAAUUGUUGAUUUUUAAUGGAUUUUUCAAAUUGGUAGGUUGCCUCGGAACGUAUCAGAAACUGUGUAUGUACCGUGUUUGAUGUUAUAAAUGAACAAUCUAAUGGUGUCAAAAUGAGCCAAAAUUUUGAAACAUUAAACUUAAAUAUGUCUACAUCAAAUUGGAAAGUUCACAGUAAUUGAAAUUGUGGUUCAUAUUUUAUGAUUUUUUAAACUCUACUUCAACAGUAAAGAACAAUUCAGUUAUUUUUUUAUCUUAUGGACGACUAGCUUAAUAAUAUAAAAAAAACUUGAAAUUUUUAUACAUUAUGAAGUUAAAAUUUACGUCCAUGUUCUGAAAAUUUUCAUCCCAAUAUAUUGAGUAUUUUAAUUUUAACAAAUCACCAAAACUCAGCUAUUUCUGUGUGAAUUAAAAAGGUUGUUUUAACUAGUUUAGUUUAAUCCUAUAAGAACUUAUUGUAGAAUUGUCUAAAUGACUUGAAAAUUUUAUAUGUUGUGUGUUUAUGUGUAAUAGUAUUCUGGAACUUUUCAUAAUAAUCCGAAUAGUGUUAAAUUUUUAAAGAAAAUCAGAAGUUCAUGUUGUUGGUAUUUCCUCUCAAUAUACUAGUUUUCUGUAUUUUUGAAUGGGAUUGUAGAAAUAGAAAUAAAUAUUAUUAAAUUGAUCUAAAAUUUUAUAUUCUACGUGUGUUACAUGUCUAGAUUAUAUUUGCAAAUUUAUAUAGUGAUUGAACUGGCCUAAUAACUCAAAAGGAUUGUUGAACAAGGCAUGUCUAGAUUAUAUCUGUAGAACUCCAUGAAUUUUAUUUGUACAUCUUUUGUCAUUCAAUUUAUCAGAUUAUAGACUUUGAAGUUUGGUUUUAUGAAUCGGAGAUUGACAUUAUUUUGGCUUGUUAGGGAAUUUAAUGGAUUCUUGAGAUUGAUUCCUAAAUAAUUUUUUUAAAUGUCCAUUUUCACCGUGAAUAAUUCUUAUGAACAUGGUAUUGUUCAAGAAUUGAUUUGGAAUCUUUGAGCAUGUUUUCAUGGCCUCUUGGAUGAAUGAGAUAUGAUGAGAAUCAUUAUGAUCACUAUUUUAUGGGUUAGUAGCUCAUGCAUUGCUUUUCGGGUAUUUGUUAAGGGAGAUGCUAGAAGUAGUUUGUGUGCUAUGCGUGGACAAAGCUUUGGAGUAUUUUGCGAUUUGUUACGUCCUUCAUAAGUGUUCUUUUGUUAAGAUGUAUUUUGGAGACUCGGGUUAAUGUUCUAGCAUGUUAUUCUAGCAAUAUGAUAUGCAUUUUUGUUGAGUUCUAAGAGCCAAAUAUAGAUACACACACACACACACACACACAUAUAUAUACAUAUGUAUAGAGUUGGCAAAAUUUGACACGAUCUGAUUACCCGACACGAACACGACAUAAAUAAAUGGGUAUGGGUCGUCAAAUUUAACACGAUUAUUAAAUGGAUCGGGUCCAGGUCAACACGAUUUUUUUCCGUGUCGGGUUUGGGUUAAAAUUCUUGACCCAUUUACCCGAUCAAUAACCUGAUUAUAUUUUCUAUUUUAAAAUAAUUUACAUAUUCUUAUAAUUAAAACUCAAAUAUUUGAGAUGAUUUUCUUUUUUUUUUAUUCUUUAAAAGGGUGAAUAUAAACACAAUAUUUUAUUUAUAAAAUUUUACAUACAUUUAGAGCUUCAAUAGUGUAAAUGUGUAAAAAUUGAUAGACAUGUAUAUUUUAUAAUAUUGAUAUAUAAUAUUAUAUAUAUAUAUAUAUAUAUAUAUAUAAUUAAAACCUCAAUAGUGUACAUGUGCAAUAUAUUGGUAGAUAUGUACAUUUUAUAAUAUCGAUAAAUUAUGUAUGUAUGUAUGUUUGUAUGUAUUUAUGUACAUACGUAUGUAUGAUAGUGUGUAAAUAUUUGACGUAACUUUUGUUCAAUAUAUAGAUAUUAAACGGGUUAUUGGGUAACCCGAUUAUUUUUCCGUGUUGGGUUUGGGUCUCAAUAUUUUGACACGAUUAUUAAAUGGGUCGGGUUUGGGUCGACCUAAAUUUGACACGACACGAACACGACCCGAUGACCCGUUUUGCCAGCUCUACAUAUGUAUAUAUAUAUAUUGAUAUGCUAUCAUCUGCAAUAUAUAUGUAUAUAUAUACAUAUAUACAUAUGUGUAUAUAUAUAUAUAUAUAUGUGUGUGUGUGUGUGUGUUGAAAAAAUAGCAUAUCAAUAUGCUAUUUUGAGGGCACAUUUUGAGUGGGUCCCACUUAACGAAAGUGGGAAAUCUUGUGAAGUUCGGGUUCUACUCCGUGAAUACUUCGAAAGUAUAUAUUUAUUUACUCAAAAUGGUGCUUGGGUGAAUAAAAAAUUGUCUCUCAAGGUGCACCCUUGAAGUUGAAAAUAUGAAAGGAAAUGAGUUUUAUCCCACAAGGAAAAAAUAAGCCAAGGAAUUUGUGUUUAUAUAUAGACACUUACCCAUGCAUGAGCAAGAAUUAUAAGGUUAGAGGCUCUCUCCACACACACGUGAGCGGGGGGUGCAAAUCUAAGACUGAUUUGGUUGAACUCGUGUGAGCCCGCGUGUCCUGCAUACACGAAUUGUUUUUAAUUUUCUUUUAAAUUUUUUGUAACAGUUUCACAAUUUUUGAUUUCAAAGAAUUUGUAACAGCUUCACAAUUAUUUUUUUGGUUGUUAUGCAAUUUAAUUUUUGAAUUCAAUUGGCUGUUACAACAAUUAAAUGUUAUAUAUUCAACAGUUUCACAAUUCUUGAUUUCAAAGGAUUUGUAACAGCUUCGCAAUUAUUUUUUGGGCUGUUAUGCAAUUCAAUUUUUGAAUUCAAUUGGCUUAUUUGAAUUUAAACAAUUCAAUUGGCUGUUGCAACAAUUAAAUGACAGAUAUUGAAUUCGGAAAUUCAAUACUACGCUACUGUUACAUCCUCACGUGUAUAAAAAGGCAGUUUCCUCUUCUGUUUUUAACACAUAGAAACCAGCACACAGAGCAUUUAAAAUUUUCUUUCCUCCUUCUUACGUCUUGUUCUUGAUCGAGUUUGCAGCUGUUGUGGUUCGUCGAAGUUAUCUAUAUGUGUUUGACGGAUAAUUCGUGCCUGUUGUAUCCUGGGAAACAGUUACCAGCAAACUUAAAACACUGUAGUAGGUGGUAAAUCUGUUUUAAGGACACUAUAUUACAGGCCUCAUAUUUAUUUUCUUUGGUUUCCAGUAGCUAUUUUUUGCUGUUGUUUAAUUUCAGUUGCUGUCUUGCUGCAGUUUGAUUAUGUUGCCAAUUAAUUUCGUGUAAUUAGCUACUGGUUUAUAUUUGUUAACUCACUGUUGUUAUUUUUCGAACAAUAUGUAUGUAUGUAUAAAUAAGUUUUAUAAAUUUUAGUACACUUCUUGGAUGCAGGGUCUGACAUAGGUCGACACAUUUUUCUUUUUGAUAAUGUUAAGCAAAAGCCUCCAUUGCUCUAUACGAAUAGUGGAAUAUGAUAAUGAAAAUUAAUUAUGUAUGGGGAGCACCCCCCAACUCUCUUCUUACACAUAAUAUGGGUUUCCUUUACAAACUUUGAUGAAAUUAAUCCAAAAUAAUUAAAGCAUCAUUAUGUAUUAUUUGAUUUUUUAAAAUAAAAAAUUUUACAAAGUUAACAAUUGAACUCAAAAUUUACAAAUUGCCAAUUGAACUCAACAUUUUUGUUAUUCGGUGAUUUAAAAUUGUCACUGUAGCGAGUUUCGCUUAAAAAAUUAAACAAAUUACAAAUAUGAAACAAAUAAUAAUAAAAAUGACAAAUUAUUACAUGGAAUAUCAAAUAAUAAUCACUUAAAUUAUCAACUAA